CUGCAUAGAAUUCGAAUAUUCAAGGGGAUAUAAUAGAGGACUUGGUUGAUUUUGGUUCCACAAGUUGAGGAUCAGAUGGAGCACAAGGGAAAAAGUGAAGGACAGCUGGGGUCUCUUUCUCGGUUUUUAAGAGCAUACAGAUGCUAGUUCAAUAUUUCAUGAGAAUAUGAUCACGAGUGUAGUAGACCUUGUGACUUACAUUUGUUUAGAUUAGUUGAAUUUUGUAUUAGUCUACUCAGCAUUUUCUCCUCAAUGUUGGCCCAAGUCUUAUAUAAGAAAAAUUCUAGAAAUUUUUAAGAUAUUCUUUAUCUCC
rnacentral:lncRNA from 1 species